GACGAACGCUGGCGGCGUGCUUAACACAUGCAAGUCGAACGGAAAGGCCCUGCUUGCAGGGUACUCGAGUGGCGAACGGGUGAGUAACACGUGGGUGAUCUGCCCUUCACUUCGGGAUAAGCCUGGGAAACUGGGUCUAAUACCGGAUAGUAGCCAUUUUUUGUGUGAUGGUUGGAAAGUUUUUUCGGUGUAGGAUGAGCUCUCGGCCUAUCCGCUUGUUGGUGGGGUAAUGGCCUACCAAGGCGGCGACGGGUAGCCGGCCUGAGAGGGUGGACGGCCACAUUGGGACUGAGAUACGGCCCAGACUCCUACGGGAGGCAGCAGUGGGGAAUAUUGCACAAUGGGCGCAAGCCUGAUGCAGCGACGCCGCGUGGGGGAUGACGGCCUUCGGGUUGUAAACUCCUUUCGCUAGGGACGAAGCUUUUGUGACGGUACCUAGAUAAGAAGCACCGGCUAACUACGUG
rnacentral:rRNA from 1 species